rnacentral:rRNA from 1 species
UACAGACGGCGCAAGCGUUAUCCGGAAUGAUUGGGCGUAAAGCGUCUGUAGGUGGUUCUCGAAGUCUACUGUCAAAUCCCAGGGCUCAACCUUGGACAGGCAGUGGAGAACUCGGGGACUCGAGUUCGGCAGGGGAGACUGGAAUUCCUGGUGUAGCGGUGAAAUGCGCAGAUAUCAGGAGGAACACCGGUGGCGAAGGCGGGACUCUGGGCCGAUACUGACGCUGAGGAGCGAAAGCGUGGGGAGCGAACAGG